UGACCUCAAAUCAGGUAGGAGUACCCGCUGAACUUAAGCAUAUCAAUAAGCGGAGGAA
rnacentral:rRNA from 1 species